AGCUAACUAGGCAAUCGCUGCUGUACAUUUUAGGAUGUUACGGGAGAGGAAAGUCCGGGCUCCAUAGGGAAAGGUGCCAGGUAACUCCUGGGGGGCGUAAGCCUACGGAAAGUGCAGCAGAAAAUAUACCGCCUACUUCGGUAGGUAAGGGUGAAAAGGUGCGGUAAGAGCGCACCGCGUGGACGGUAACGUGCAUGGCAGUGUAAACCCCACCGGGAGCAAGACCAAAUAGGAAUCCUUGGGUGCGUCCCGCACUGGAUUCGGGUAGGUCGCUUGAGGUUAUUGGUGACGAUAGCCCUAGAUGAAUGAUUGUCCACGACAGAACCCGGCUUAUCGGUUGGCUCA
rnacentral:RNase_P_RNA from 1 species